GCGGAAAGUUACUACAAAAGUUUAAUUAGAGUGGCCAGCAUUCGGCCUCCUCCACGGCCGGAUCAACCGGCGGGUCAGCUGGUGAAUCAGGACCUGCCGGCAUAAUAAGGUAAUUUUAAUCUUUUUAGGUAUUAUAAUAAAAGGAAAAUGUAUCUGCAGGCAUUGGGUUAUUUGGACUCUCCCUAUCCACACCACCACCAACACUAAUAUUUUUUAUCUGAAGAUCUGCCACUAAUUUGAAAUGACGUUUCUGUCCUUUAUCGACCUGGAAUAUUUCACUAUGCU
rnacentral:lncRNA from 1 species